rnacentral:misc_RNA from 1 species
GAAAUGCGAUAAGUAAUGUGAAUUGCAGAAUUCAGUGAAUCAUCGAAUCUUUGAACGCACAUUGCGCCCGCCAGCACUCUGGCGGGCAUGCCUGUUCGAGCGUCAUUUCAACCCUCAGAACCCCUUGCGGGAUCUGGCGUUGGGGAUUGGCAUCCAGCCAGCCCCGAAAUCUGGUGGCGGUCCCUCCGCGACCUCCCCUGUGCAGUAGCGAUACCUCGCAGCGGGACAGCGGUCUGACCACGCCGUAAAACCCCCAACUUCUCAAGGUUGACCUCGAAUCAGGUAGGAAUGCCCGCUGAACUUAAGC